UCCGAUUUGUCACCGGCAGUCCCACCUGAAAGAUCCAACAGGUAGCAAGGGUUGCGCUCGUUGCGGGACUUAACCCAACAUCUCACGACACGAGCUGACGACGGCCAUGCAACACCUGUCACCGAGUUCCCUUCCGGGCACCCCCCCAUCUCUGGGAGGUUCUCGGGAUGUCAAGGGUGGGUAAGGUUCUUCGCGUAGCGUCGAAUUAAACCACAUCCUCCGCUGCUUGUGCGGACCCCCGUCAAUUCCUUUGAGUUUUAGCCUUGCGGCCGUACUCCCCAGGCGGCCGACUUAACGCGUUAGCUUCGAUACUGGGAGGGUCGAAACUCCCAAUACCUAGUCGGCAUCGUUUACAGCGUGGACUAC
rnacentral:misc_RNA from 1 species